rnacentral:rRNA from 1 species
UGGGAAGUAUUGCAUCAAUGGCGGCAGGCCUGGACUGCAGCCAUGCCGCGCUGUAUGAAGAAGGCCAAUUCGGGCUUUGGUUAAAGAUACUUUCAGCGAGGAGGAAGGCAUUAAGGUUAAUAACCUUAGUGAUUGACGUUACUCGCAGAAGAAGCACCGGCUAACUCCGUGCCAGCAGCCGCGGUAAUACGGAGGGUGCAAGCGUUAAUCGGAAUUACUGGGCGUAAAGCGCACGCAGGCGGUCUGUCAAGUCGGAUGUGAAAUCCCCGGGCUCAACCUGGGAACUGCAUCCGAAACUGGCAGGCUAGAGUCUUGUAGAGGG